AUACUAAUAAUAAUAUUAUUUGAUACAUGUAAAAAAAACUUACACAAAUAAAAUAGAAAACCAUAACUAAAACCCAAAACACGUAUUCAUCUUCCUCGCCGCAAAGAUUUUUCAUGCGGCGAGUACGUCGCAGCAACCCUGGCCUAUCGAAGUACAACAGUCUCGGUUUCGACUUCGCUUUACAUCUUGGCCAGGUGUUGCGACAUUGUACGUCAGUUAUCACCACUGUGAUAUCAUCUGACGUUUCCUCUAAGGAUAGGCUUUCAAGGGACACUGUUGGCCCCUGCGUUCCGUUCAGCGACACAAGCGAUCCGAAGUGAUAAACGCUGGCUGGCUCAUUUGUUCCGUCCGAUAAUCGGAUACUCCAUACAUUUCGGAGCUCUGGUCCCCGCACGGACAGCAACAUGCCGCGAACGUCCGCCUAAACAUUCGCCAACACGUUCCGUCCAAAACCUAUCCUUAUCCUCUUUUGAUGGUUAUAAAGUUUUGCAUAGCCAAGUGUACUACGAUUGAAAAUCGUCGUUUUGUUUGUUGGUCGUUAUGGUUUUUUUCUGCAGCAAACAACAACGCUAAGCGUUCGGUGGACCUGUCGCAGAACCGGUUGGACAGCGGUCAUGAGGAACCUACCAAG